rnacentral:rRNA from 1 species
GGGGAUAACAGAGUAGUCGCACCUGAGCGUCCACAGCGACGGUGCGGUUCGCUACCUCGAU